UAGGGAAUCUUCCGCAAUGGACGAAAGUCUGACGGAGCAACGCCGCGUGAGUGAUGAAGGGUUUCGGCUCGUAAAACUCUGUUGUUAAGGAAGAAUACUUGAGGUAGUAACUGGCCUUGAGAUGACGGUACUUAACCAGAAAGCCACGGCUAACUACGUGCCAGCAGCCGCGGUAAUACGUAGGUGGCAAGCGUUAUCCGGAAUUAUUGGGCGUAAAGCGCGCGUAGGCGGUAAAAUAAGUCUGAUGUGAAAGCCCCCGGCUCAACCGGGGAGGGUCAUUGGAAACUGUUUUACUUGAGUACAGAAGAGGAGAGUGGAAUUCCAUGUGUAGCGGUGAAAUGCGCAGAGAUAUGGAGGAACACCAGUGGCGAAGGCGGCUCUCUGGUCUGUUACUGACGCUGAGGUGCGAAAGCGUGGGGAUCAAACAGG
rnacentral:rRNA from 1 species